AGACGUGUGGUCUUCCUUUCUGCGCUGUGAACCCGGGCACUCCGUGCCGACGCCACCGGCCUGCGGGUCUCUGAGGGGACCCCCCCCCCAAUCGGACUGCCAAAUUCUCCGG